rnacentral:rRNA from 1 species
GACGAACGCUGGCGGCGUGCUUAACACAUGCAAGUCGAACGGAAAGGCCCUGCUUUUGUGGGGUGCUCGAGUGGCGAACGGGUGAGUAACACGUGAGUAACCUGCCCCUGACUUUGGGAUAACUUCAGGAAACUGGGGCUCAUAUCGGAUAGGAGCUCCUGCUGCAUGGUGGGGGUUGGAAAGUUUCGGUGGUUGGGGAUGGACUCGCGGCUUAUCGGCUUGUUGGUGGGGUAGUGGCUUUCAAAGGCUUUGACGGGUAGCCGGCCUGGGAGGGUGACCGGCGACAUGGGGACUGAGAUACGGCCCAGACGCCAACGGGAGGCAGCAGUGGGGAAUAUGGCACAGUGGGCGGAAGCCUGAUGCAGCAACGCCGCGUGCGGGAUGACGGCCUUCGGGUUGUAAACCGCUUUCGCCUGUGACGAAGCGUGAGUGACGGUAAUGGGUAAAGAAGCACCGGCUAACUACGUG